GAUGAACGCUGGCGGCGUGCCUAAUACAUGCAAGUCGAGCGAACGGACGAGAAGCUUGCUUCUCUGAUGUUAGCGGCGGACGGGUGAGUAACACGUGGAUAACCUACCUAUAAGACUGGGAUAACUUCGGGAAACCGGAGCUAAUACCGGAUAAUAUUUUGAACCGCAUGGUUCAAAAGUGAAAGACGGUCUUGCUGUCACUUAUAGAUGGAUCCGCGCUGCAUUAGCUAGUUGGUAAGGUAACGGCUUACCAAGGCAACGAUGCAUAGCCGACCUGAGAGGGUGGUCGGCCACACUGGAACUGAGACACGGUCCAGACUCCUACGGGAGGCAGCAGUAGGGAAUCUUCCGCAAUGGGCGAAAGCCUGACGGAGCAACGCCGCGUGAGUGAUGAAGGUCUUCGGAUCGUAAAACUCUGUUAUUAGGGAAGAACAUAUGUGUAAGUAACUGUGCACAUCUUGACGGUACCUAAUCAGAAAGCCACGGCUGACUACGUG
rnacentral:rRNA from 1 species